rnacentral:lncRNA from 1 species
UUCUUUUUUGAGUCAUGAAAGAUUUGAAGGAAGAAAAGAAAAAUUACAGUCUGAAAUGCAACAUGAAAUAGCAACAGUGAUUUAUGACCUGGAUGCUUCUGAUAAGUUGCCACUCUAGCAUGCCAAGCUGGAUUCUUUAAAAAAAUAUGGGAAAAUAAAUAUUUGAAAGUAUGUCCUAUUAAAACUGAUCCCUUUAGUUUGCAUUGCUAACAGAAGGAAAGCAUACAUUGAUCCCUGUAAGAAAGUGUCUGAAGAAUCACUGGAAUUCAAGUUGGUUUUGUUCACAUCAGGGAAUAUAGGUAUCUCAUCCGUCAGGUUGAAUAGAACUGCAUCUACAGGAAAAAGCAACAGCAAAAAGUCUUCACAUGCUCCUUGUGUUUCUAGCAUAAAGAUGUUAUAGAAGCACCACAUCUUCCAAGGCUUCCCAGCAAACCUUGCAGAAGAGAUUCCAGACAGCAAAUCAGGAUAGACCACUCCACCUCCUGGCUCCAUCCUCCUUUCAGGCAGUUGUAGAGAACGAUAAAGUCCCCCCUGAGCCUUCUCUUCUCCAGACUAAUACCACCAGUUCCUCCAGCUGCUCCUCAUCACACUUGUGAUCCAAGCCCUUCACCAGCUCCGUGGCCCUUCCCUGGAACCGCUCCCGCACCGC